UACGGAGGGUGCAAGCGUUAUCCGGAAUCACUGGGUUUAAAGGGUGCGUAGGCGGUGGCGUAAGUCAGUUGUGAAAUUCCCCGGCUUAACCGGCGGGACUGCGAUUGAUACUGCGUUACUUGAAUCAGGUUGAGGUAGGCGGAAUGUGACAUGUAGCGGUGAAAUGCUUAGAUAUGUCAUAGAACACCGAUUGCGAAGGCAGCUCGCUAAACUGUAACUGACGCUGAGGCACGAAAGCGUGGGGAUCAAACAGG
rnacentral:rRNA from 1 species